ACUACAAGCAAAACAAGAAAUACCCCACCAAUGAAUAACUGAAAUUGCAUGCAGUCUAUGAACUAGUUUUAUUUCAGACACAGCAGCUAAACAGAAAACUCAUUCAGCUCAUCAGGAACAGUCAUCUCCACAAUGAUUCAUAUAUCGACUGCCCUAACUACCUGUAUGAUGGAGGAAUAAAAGUAGAUGAAGUAAGAAGAAACUGAAAACUGAAAUGAAGUGUGAUGUGACCCAGCCUGACCCACAAAUUGCUAACAAGAGGGUAGAAUUAGAAGCAAAAAUACCACAAAACUAGGUUUUAUGUGCAAGAACCUUGCAAACUAUGCAGGAGUCAAAUACAGGCCACCAAUAUUCUUACACCUGAAUUAAUUUCACUAAAUCCUAAAUUUCUGCAUUUGGUAAAUUAUCCUGUUUUUGACAUCUGACAAAUAGCAUUUCCUUUUUUUAAACUAUCAGUGAAAAUUUUAACACUUAUAAUGAAACUAUUAUUAUUCCUUACUGUAUAUUAUUAUUCAUUACUGGGAUAAUUUAAAUAUGCUGCUGCCUUUUAGGGAUGUAACAGUGUUCCCAGAACGACAUUAGAGAUUAAAAAAAUAAUUCACAAGAAUAAAAACAAGUUUUCUUCCA